AGCAGCCGCGGUAAUUCCAGCUCCAAUAGCGUAUAUUAAAGUUGUUGCAGUUAAAAAGCUCGUAGUUGAAUUUCGGGAUCAAUAUGUUGGUCGUGCCUUGGUACGUACUGGCAUUAUCGAUUCCUACCUUCUGAAGAACCUCGAUGUCAUUAAUUUGGUGUCUUGGGGAAUCAGGACUGUUACUUUGAAAAAAUUAGAGUGUUUAAAGCAGGCUCGCGCUUGAAUACAUUAGCAUGGAAUAAUGAAAUAGGACGUUUGAUUCUAUUUUGUUGGUUUCUAGGAUCGACGUAAUGAUUAAUAGGGAUAGUUGGGGGCAUUAGUAUUCAAUUGUCAGAGGUGAAAUUCUUGGAUUUAUUGAAGACUAACUACUGCGAAAGCAUUUGCCAAGGAUGUUUUCAUUAAUCAAGAACGAAAGUUAGGGGAUCGAAGACGAGCAGAUACCGUCGUAGUCUUAACCAUAAACUAUGCCGACUAGGGAUCGGAUGAUGUUAAUUUUUUAAUGACUCAUUCGGCGCCUUAC
rnacentral:misc_RNA from 1 species